rnacentral:rRNA from 1 species
AGUGAACGCUGGCGGUAGGCCUAACACAUGCAAGUCGAACGGCAGCACAGUAAGAGCUUGCUCUUACGGGUGGCGAGUGGCGGACGGGUGAGGAAUACAUCGGAAUCUACUUUUUCGUGGGGGAUAACGUAGGGAAACUUACGCUAAUACCGCAUACGACCUACGUGUGAAAGCAGGGGAUCUUCGGACCUUGCGCGAAUGAAUGAGCCGAUGUCGGAUUUGCUGGUUGGCGGGGUAAAGGCCCACCAAGGCGACGAUCCGUAUCUGGUCUGAGAGGAUGAUCAGCUAGAAUGGAACUCAGACACGGUCCAGCCGCCUACGGGUGGUAUGAGAGGGGAAGUUUGGACAAGGGACGAAAGUCUGAACCAGUGAUACCGGGUCGUUCAAGAAUGGCUGCGGGUUGUAAAGCUCUUUUGUUGGGUAAGAAAAGCAGCAGGUUAAUACACCGCUGGUGUGACAGUACCCAAAGAAUAAGCAACGGCUGACUGCGUG